GAUGAACGCUAGCUACAGGCUUAACACAUGCAAGUCGAGGGGCAGCGGGAUUGAAGCUUGCUUCAAUUGCCGGCGACCGGCGCACGGGUGAGUAACGCGUAUCCAACCUUCCGUACACUCAGGGAUAGCCUUUCGAAAGAAAGAUUAAUACCUGAUGGUAUGAUGAGAUUGCAUGAUAUCAUCAUUAAAGAUUUAUCGGUGUACGAUGGGGAUGCGUUCCAUUAGGUAGUAGGCGGGGUAACGGCCCACCUAGCCAACGAUGGAUAGGGGUUCUGAGAGGAAGGUCCCCCACAUUGGAACUGAGACACGGUCCAAACUCCUACGGGAGGCAGCAGUGAGGAAUAUUGGUCAAUGGACGAGAGUCUGAACCAGCCAAGUAGCGUGAAGGAUGAAGGUCCUACGGACUGUAAACUUCUUUUAUAAGGGAAUAAACCCUCCCACGUGUGGGAGCUUGUAUGUACCUUAUGAAUAAGCAUCGGCUAACUCCGUG
rnacentral:rRNA from 1 species